rnacentral:rRNA from 1 species
UACGUAGGGGGCAAGCGUUGUCCGGAUUCAUUGGGCGUAAAGAGCGUGUAGGCGGCCAGGUAGGUCGGUUGUGAAAACUGGAGGCUCAACCUUCAGAGGUCGACCGAAACCAUCUGGCUAGAGUCCGGGAGAGGAGAGUGGAAUUCCUGGUGUAGCGGUGAAAUGCGUAGAUAUCUGGAGGAACACCGGUGGCGAAGGCGGCAUUCUGGACUACAACUGACACUGAGGAACGAAAGCCAGGGGAGCAAACGGG